rnacentral:rRNA from 1 species
GCCUAAAUCCAAGCUAAACAGCACUACAAAACAACCCCCAAACAAAGCCAAACCAUUUGCGCUGAGCUAGUAAAUGAGAUCGAACACUAUCUUUAAGCCUCUCCUAUACCGUAAGGGAGAAGUGAAAGAAUAAUGAAAAACUCAAGCACAGCACAGCAAAGAUAGACCCUUGUACCUCUUGCAUCAUGGUCUAGCCAAACAACCCCAAACAAAGAGAACUUUAGUCUGAACACCCGAAACCAAACGAGCUAUUUUUAGCCAGCUUUUCACUAGAGCACACCCGUCCCUGUAGCAAAAGGGUGGGAAGACCUAAAAAUAGAGGCAAAACGCCUACCGAGCUUGGUGAUAGCUGGCUACUCAACAAAAGAACCUGAGUUCGCCCCAGACCAACCCAUUCGGACCUAACAUACGAACCCCUCUGCCUCCUCCAGUCUGAGGAAAAUCAAUGGGGGUACAGCUCCAUUGAUACGGGAUACAGCCCGAAUUGAGAGAAACCAACCACGAGCCUUAAGUGGGCCUCAAAGCAGCCACCAAUAAAUGCGUCAAAGCUCAAACUAACACUAAUUAAUCAUAUUAACCCACCCUCCUUAUUUUAGCUGAGUAAUUUUAUUUUUUAAUAAAAAUACCCAUGCUAGAACUAGUAAUGAGAAAACUUCUCUCAGCACACCCUUAAACCAGAACUGAAAGCCUACUGGUAAUUAACAGACCAUAAACGGACUGACAUGCACCAACCAGCCGUCCUGUCUUCUAUCCAUCUGUUACCCCAACACAGGGGUGCAAAAAAGAAAGGUUAAAACCCACAAAAGGAACUCGGCAACAUUAUAGUCCCAACUGUUUACCAAAAACAUAGCCUUUAGCCUAACAAGUAUUGAAGGUCCCGCCUGCCCAGUGACUAUUUAACGGCCGCGGUAUCCUAACCGUGCAAAGGUAGCAUAAUCACUUGUCCCCUAAAUAGGGACUAGAAUGAACGGCUAAAUGAGGACUAAACUGUCUCUUGCAGGUAACCAAUGAAACUGAUCUAUCAGUCCAAAAGCUGAAAUAUCACCAUAAGACGAGAAGACCCUGUGGAGCUUCAAACCUUAACCACCAACAUGUUCUUCUUUGGUUUUUAGUUGGGGCGACUUCGGAGCAUAAAACAACCUCCGAUUAAACUAUUAAGAUCUACACAUCAAGAUAAUCCCCAUGACCCGGUAGUUCCCUAACCAACUAUCCGACCAAUGAACCAAGUUACCCCAGGGAUAACAGCGCUAUCCCCUUCUAGAGUCCAUAUCGACAAGGGGGCUUACGACCUCGAUGUUGGAUCAGGAAACCCUAAUAGUGCAGCCGCUAUUAAAGGUUCGUUUGUUCAACGAUUAAUAAUCCUACGUGAUCUGAGUUCAGACCGGAGCAAUCCAGGUCGGUUUCUAUCUAUGCAUGGACCACCCCUAGUACGAAAGGACCGGGAUGAUAAGACCUAUACUACAAAGCACGUCUUACCAAAAAUUGCUGAAUUUUACUAAAAUAAUUGCUGGCCUACAUGUCCAGCCCUAAAUAAGGGUUG